GGAUGGAGACUGGGAGCCCUGCAUUCUACAUCCACUUUGAUAAUUAGCUAUUUUUGCAUAGCGUGCUGUCUCAGUUUCCUUUUCUUUACUUUAAUGUUAUUUAUUUUUAUGUAAGAAAAACUUAUACAGCACUAUGUUCGGGGUAUAGCUCUGAAUACUUAUCGCGGAUUAACUUUCUGAAUCUCUUAUAUCAGUGUAAGGAAGUAGGUACUACUGCUGUCAUCCUCUACUUACAGGUGGAGAAACUGAGGCACAAAAAGUGAAGUCACCCGAGGCGACAUAGCUACCAAGUGACAGAGCCAGGGUUUGAACAGAGGUCCUGAGUCCAGAUCUUAAACUAUGAGAUUUUCAGAUCUCUGUUUACUUCAUCUGUGAAAUGGAACUAAUGAUAUCAACCUUGCUCGCUCACUCCAGUUGAAAGAGCCUUGCAUCUGCCCCGGGCACUCCAGAGUCUGCCAGGAGCCGCCACAGAUCUGUCACUGUGCGAACACACAAGUUGAGUCUCCUUUCCAGAGAGGCAGUGUAUGCUUCAGAAAAGUCAUACUGUGGAGAAGUUAUGGACUGCUGGCUCAUGUAAACCCCAACAGAGGGACUUUCUGGAAAAGAUGCUUUGCAAGAAAUUAAAUUUUCUUCUCUUGUGCAAAAAAAGGCCAAUGUCCCUGGAAUCCGUGAGGCUGGGCCUCUAGAACAUUAGUGGAGCGUUUGGAUCCCCUUAGAAGGGCACCACCAUGGAGUCACUCAGGUUAUCUUCCCUCAGAAUAGUAGGGUUUGAGAUCAGUAGCUCCCGCUGUCCAGGGAAGGGAAAUGGAAUCAGACUCUGUGUUUUGAUGGUUUCUGAAGAAAAGGUUCCAUUUUCCCCGAAGGAACUGGGACUUAGAACGAGGAAAGCCAGGAUUAUAGUCUGACUGUACUCUGAACCUGUUGUGACAAGGCCAAAUUCCAUCUUUCGGUCUCUGUCAAACAAGGGUUUGAACUUCAAGAUGACUUCUACUUGUUAACUGCUCAAACAUCACCCAAGCUGUGGUUAGUGUCCUCUUACUAGAGGAGCUAGUAAGCUAGCUAGGAGGCAUUUGAUAAUUGCCCAUCUGAGGAAUCCCUGAUACUCUCAAUGAGAGAGAUCAGCUAGCAUGGAUCUUGGAAAGGAGAUUUGGACCCCAAGACAUAGAGCAAACUCUCUUCUUUCCAAGAGAACUUUCUGCAGUGACGGAAAUGUUCUGUAUCUGCACUGUCCAGUAGAGUCACAUGUGGCUACUGAGCCUUUCACACGUGGCUGGUGUGACUAGGGAGCUGAAUUUUUAGUUUUAUUUAAAUUAGAUUUAAAUUUAAAUAACCACUGUGAUUAGUGGCUAACAUGUUCGACCAUGUGACUUGAGAUAUCAGGAAAGGUUGAAAACUACAUUACCUCAUAAAUUCCUUGCAAUGAAUGCAAAGAAUCUGUACUUCAAGACGUUUGCAUAAAUGCAACACUUUCCUGUUUCUUUCCACAUUCCAAAUCACAAGGGAGGGGAAAACUUAUGAACGGUCUUUUCCAUGGGAUCAAAGAAGGAUCACAAUUACACUGGAACUCCUGUAUACAUCUACCCUUAGGAUUCAUUCUGCCAGCUCCAUUCUAGCAGAAAUAGCACUGAAAAAUAAUACUGAAGCAGGCACAAUAUAACGUGGGCAUUAUAUGCUGUCAACAUUAAAUAUAGCUUUAAACUUUACAUUUACUGGAAAAGAAAACACGAACUCUCCUCAUCCUUCUCCUGUUGAGGGUCCAAUUCAGGUCUUAAAUUCCAUGUACAUAAUACUGGCGUGCCUAGUACAGAAAUGGGCAUCUGAUAGGAAAGAGCAGUAUGCAGAAAAAUACAUCCAUCCAUCCAACCACUGUCCAUCCAUCUGCCCAUCCACUCAGCCAUUCACCUGUCUGUUCAUCUGUCCAUCCAUCCACCCAUCUCUUCAUCCCCCAAAUCUAUUUAUAGAAUCAGAAAGAAAGGUUUUUCUCUCAUUUACUCAAACAAUGACAGCUUAGUAGAGAGGAAGAGGUAAGAAGCCGGUGACCGUGUUUUUAAACAUUUUAAGGAGUAUGCUUUCAGAUGAAUUCCAAAAGACAAGAAUAAUAAGAAUGAGAAGAAAAGUGUGCAUUAAUUAACCAUAAUUUUAAUUAACCAAUAGUUACUGAUCAUACAUCUGGUGCAAAGAACCAUGUGAGGUACUGUGGAAGAUAUAAGGAUGUGUAAGAAAUCUCUGCCCUCAGCAUCCUUAAUAAUCUACUUGAAAAGUUAAAGCAAUGAAUAUAUAAGAGGCUAAAAAAAGACAAAUGAGUGAAAUACUUCAAAAGAGGAAGAUGAAAGAAGUCACAAGAUAGUUCAUGUCUCAGAUGAUGAACUUUGUGUUUAGGGUCAGGAACUUUGGGCUAGAAUGGUCCCACUUAGGGCUUUAAGGGGGAAGCUUGCCAAAUUCCAAGUGAUAGGCAAGAUGACAGAAUUGAAAAACUUUGGAGAGACCUUAGAAAUAAUCUAGCUCAACUCUAUUACUUUACAGAUGAUUCAACUAAGGUCAGAGUGUUAGUGACUUGGUCCGACUCCCUGAAAUGGGCAGUAAUGGCAGCAAAAAGCCUAAAAGGCAGGACUGUUGACACCCAUUCCCAGCCCAUACAUCACACGGGGAGUAGAAUCUUCUAUGUAGGAAAGGAGAAAGCAUUCUGGAGAAUGUGCACAAAACCAUAAGCAAGGAAGCAGAGCCAGGAACUCGUCAGUUUAACCACCAGGUGCAUGUGUAAGGGGAAAAAACCAUGAAAGGAGAGGUAGGGCAGGGACCAAAAGUAAAGGGGCCUGAAGGCAAAUCUGCAAACGGUCAGCUGUGUGAAACCCAGAAUUCUGGUUUCUGGGACUGCCUUGAAGUCUCCCUUUGACACAGUGGCAGCAGUAUCAACUUUUCCAGAAAACUGUUAUUCCUUUCAUAUUAACAAAGAUUCCAGUUUGCCUGGGGGAAGGGAGGACUGUAGAAGGGAGAUUGGAACGAGUGCUGGCACUGCUGGUGAGCCUACAGGGGGCGGGGACGGAUGAUUAUCACUAUGCCCAUUCACACCUCAGAAACCCUGAUUGGGUAGAUUUAGGGUAGCAGCCAAGAAGCUGUAUGUUUUUUGAGCUCCCCAAUGAUUGGUGAUGAUCAUCCAGUGUGGAGGGUCCUCUGGUUCAUCCUUUUACCAACCUGUCAAAUACAGACUAGCACUUUAGAAAACUCUUUGAUGAUAUUUACUAAACAUAUGCCACCAGUGAUCCAGUGACUCCAUUCCCAGGCUGAGACCCAAGAGAAAGAAACACACAUGUACCCCAAAAGGCAUGAAUAAGAAUAUCCAGAGUAGGCUAUUAGCAGCCCCCAACUGGAAACAACCCAAUGUCCAUCAGUAUUAGAAUGGAUACACAAACCGAGAUAUAUUCAUACGGUGGAAUACCACACAAGAAUUCAAAAGAACAAACCAUUGCUAUGUGCACCAACAUAGAUGACUCUCACAGACAUGAGAAGCAUAAGAAGUAUGAUUCUAUUUAUAUGAGAUUAACGAACCAGCAAAAAUAAUCUAUGUUCACUGAACUCAGAAUAGUGAUUGCCUCUCUCUGGGGGUGGGUAUUAACUGGAAAGAGACAGAAAAGAAACUCCUGGGGUGCCAGAUAUCCUAUAUCUCCAGCCGGGUGGUGGUUACGUCGCUAUGAAGACAGUGCAAAUACACUGAGCUAUACACUUGUUCACUUUACUGUAUAUAGAUCAUACCUUGUUGAGAAAAAAUAGAGAUUGUGUGUGUGUGUUUGCCCUGCCAAACUCAUGACGUUAUUAUAAGACUCCAAUAGCUUUUUAAAACGAGAUAGACAAGUAUAGUUUUAUAUUAUUUAACUAGCUCAAUACUUAUUCUUGUUGAAAUUGGUUAGAUGCAGUACCUGUGAUUCAGGUGAGCCAUCAGCUUUCUCAAGCCUUUACCAAAGCACAAAAAGUUACUUACACGGAAGUUUAUAGUAAUUUCUGAACUUGGAAAUUGGAAAUUUCCGAACUUGGACACACAGUAACUAUAAAGUUGCUGAGAGCACACUAGAGCUGCCAAAGGGUGCAAACCGGCUUUUGAAAGAGCCUUUCUGCCGAUGGUCUGCUUCGAAAGCUCCCUGCAGCUGCAUUUGUACAUUCCACGCCCUCACUUUUCUCCCUGCCCACCCCCCCCCCCCCGCAACACCUCCACACCCACCAACCCAGAAUGCAAAAUCUCCUCUUUCCGUCAAGAAAAUGGUCCUCAUCCCGAGGUGCCCUGGGCCAUUGGUCAUGAGCCACAGACAGACCUUCUGCCGGCUGGGGAGUUUGCCUGCCCCUGGAUCAACGUGUGAAAUUGCCUGUGGCCAUUAGCACCUGGUGGGCAAACGCUCAGGUUAGAGCAAGCUGGACGUGAGCUGCGGGAACGGAGAAACCCUGUCUGGCCAGCCCGAUGUACAAACCUUGUCUCUGGGCUGUUAUUUUUCCACCUUUGAAAAUGAACAGUGUACUUCAGGCAGCUAAGUCUAAACACAUGUCUACAAAUACUGAUAACCCUAUCUUUAUUUGUCCAUUACUUGACAAAGCCAGAUCACCUGGGGACUGUUUGUUCCUCUACAAAAUGAGAAUCCACUAUCGUAUGUAUUAAAAUGUAGGACAUUCUCUUCAGAGUAUAAACUUUCAAGAGCUGCUUCUCUGUCUUUCCUGGUACACUCUCAAAUCCGUGUGUAUCUUUAACACCAUAGCAUCCCGUGGAUUUUAAAAUAAAAAUGUAUAGGCUCUGGCUCAA